AAAUUGUGUACUACUACUUCUAAUCUAGUACUUAAUAAAUUGAUAUAAAAUAAGACAUCACAAAGUACAGCAUCUAUAAUCAAAUAUUGGCGACUGAAGUGGUCCAUAUAUAAGCUCUUUACCAUUACCUACUUCCUAAUUCCUAUAUGUCUUUCCCUCUAUAUCUUCUUUACAAGCUUUUUGCGGAGAAGUGAUAGAACAAUAUUUUAUUAUUAUUAUUAUUUUUUUUGUUUUAAGAAAAGAUGAUUUCUUUCCGUGGCAAGUAUUUCAUCAUCAUCAUCUUCACACUGAUUGUCCAUGGGCGUCUUGGAUUUUCUGACAACAAUAAACUCCAUGAGGCCGAAGGUACGAAGUACUCUUUAGAACCCAUCUUAUUUUAAUCGUUUCCAACUACGAAAUUAAACAAAAGAUUCUUCCUUUUAUAUCGUAUCUCGUACGUGUAUGUGUAUAUAUGCAUCUCUGUCCCCUUCAGGGUAAUUUGAGAAAUUUGGAAAUUAAAGCACUUUCCUAAUCUGUGAUGAUGAUGAUGAUUGUUUGUUUUGAACUGAAAUUGGGAAGUGAGAGCACUAAAGGAGAUAGGGAAGAAGAUAGGGAAGAAAGAUUGGAACUUUCAAAAGGAUCCAUGUAGUGGUGAAGGCAAUUGGAUUGUCACCACUUACACAGCCAAAGAGUUCGAGAGUAAUAUCACUUGUGAUUGCUCCUCACUUCCUCCGAACUCGUCUUGCCACGUCACCCGAAUGUAAGUAGUCUCUUCUUCUUCUUCUUCUUCUUCUUCUUCUUCUUCUUCUUCCUCCCCUUAUCUUCUUUAUUUUUCACCUAUUUUUGGUAUAUACAAAAUAUCUCUAAUCUAACAUUGGUGUCGGUGCCAAGCCAUAAACUGUACAUUUGGUUUUGAUCAUCAGUGAAUCCAGUAAAAUAAACAAGGGGUAUUGACAUUUCACCGUUAGAAUUUGCUUUGGCAUGGAAUAUUUAGGAGUUUCACGAUCUGCACAAUUUUACUUAUUUUUGUUAAAAAGUCCUUAAGCUAACACGUUCGGUAGUAUGGUCACGAAUUACUUCCUUCGUAAUCGUGAGUAGGUUUGUAGAUUUAAUUAUCUUUUUCAUUAACUGCACUACGCACGCGCUUUAAUAACAGCCGCUAACUAUAUACCCUGUUUUUUUUUAUGGGUAAAUUUGGGAAGUUGUACUAUUUCGGGCAUUGCAGAACUAGUAUACAUAUAUACUAAACCAAUAGGAUCGUAUUAUAUAACGUGACGUUGGAAAUUUUAAAAAGAAUAAAAUAAAAUUCUACAUUAUAUACUGUAUAAGCUUAUUCUACUGUUUUUGUUUUCUUCUUUCGCUAAUAUGCACUUCUCCAAUGUUCUAGUUCUAAUAUCUUACUAAUUAAAGUCUGAAAUGUUCUAGUUCUACUACGUUAUAUUACUGAUCAGACUGACAUUUUAGUUAGAAAACAUGAUUUAAAGCAUAAUCGGUUUUAGGAUGACUAAGAGAGUUAAUCAAGAGUUUGGUGGAAGUACAAAGCACUUGCAAAACUAAGAUUAAAAAGCUUUUAGUUAGGGUUGUCUCUUUGUGACGACAAGUUUACUUGCCAGACUGGACAUUGACUGCUGAUCGUUGACCCAUCCGUUGACGCCAAAGUUCCAAACUAAUGAAACGAUUCAAAAGAAAAUAACGCGUUUGCUUCAGCUGUAUUUAAUACUAGUAAUGACUAGAAAUGUGAGCGAGACUUAAUAAAUCUAUAACGACCAAAGUAUUGAUGAUACAUGGAAACUAAUCCAAACAAGAUAUUUCUUGUUAUUAAUUUUUCUUAAAGUUUCAACAAAUUCAAGUUUUUUUCAAUUGUUUAAUAAUUUUCGGAAAUAAUAAAAGAUACUGUAUAAGUGUAUAUGAAUAUGAUUUAUAUAACAUCCACUACUUAAUUAGUUGCAUGAUUUGAAAAUGUUUUCAUUAACCAAUAAAAUUAAUUUAGUUUGUUUCAUAUUUACAUAAAGAAAAAAUAGCAUAAACGUACUUUAUCAAUUUUAUAAAUAUCAAUUUAAAAACAUAAUAUUACAAAUUACUGAUGCGUUAUAUAUCAUCACAAUUACACCUCAUCGCAUUUAUUUUUUUAGUUCAUUGAAUUGUUUGUUGAUUUUCUUUGUUUUAUAACUUACACUUCAAUAUAUAGAAAUUAGCCCCCAACAGUUUUAAGAUGUUUCUAUACCGCCCCAAAAGUUGCAGUUCCUUCCAAAAAUACCCUCUUACUAACGAUUUUUUUUUUUUGGGGGGUUACUGAUCAUAUAUUUGUGGGUAAAUCGUAAUCCUAUAUCCGGUUUAACGUCAUAUCCGGUUUAACGUCAUAUCCGGUUUAUUAUCGCAGAGCACUGAAGUCGCAGAACUUAACAGGCACCGUCCCUCCAGAGUUCUCUAAGCUUCGUCACCUCAAAGUUUUGUAAGUGAUCAAAGGUUUCAGAUUUCCAUACUUUCUUCAAGUUUAAUCAUAGAAAUGGCUCUUAACACGUACAAUUUGGUGCAGAGACCUUAGCCGUAACUAUCUAACUGGUUCCAUUCCAAAGGAAUGGGCUUCUAUGCGCUUAGAAGAUUUGUAAGAUCUUCUAUCUUACUUCUGUAAUGAAUUGAAAAUAUAAUCUUUUUUCUUUAUUAAAAUCUGUCGUCUUUCAUGGGGUUGAUGGAUAUAUCUCCUAUAUUGAUGUACAUACACAGAUCUUUCAUGGGGAACAGAUUGUCUGGUCCAUUUCCGAAAGUCUUAACCCGCAUUACGACCCUCAGAAACCUGUAUGUUGUUGUUAAACUUAACUUAAACAGGCUGAGACUUUUCUGGUUAUGUUUGAAAAAUAUUGCAUUUUGAUUCUCGAGCUAUUAAUGUAUAUUUGAAUGUGUUCAUCAUUUGGAAUUAUGUAGGAGCCUCGAAGGAAAUCAGUUUUCAGGACAAAUCCCUCGUGAGAUUAGAAAGAUGAUUCAUUUGGAGAGGCUGUAAGCUUAUCUUCUCUCUUUUCAUCUUACAAAGCUUUUCGUGAAUACUCUAUCUAUAUAUCGAAAUCCACAAUUGGUAGGAAUGUUUUCUCAAGACAUCUAAAGCCAUUUGGCUUCUUAUUCAUUAUCUUAUCAUAUUCUCUGUUUUUGACUCAGUCAUCUUCCUUCAAAUGCCUUCACUGGACCAUUGCCCGAAGAACUUGGAUUGCUCAAGAACAUGACUGAUAUGUAAGAGAUUUAAGUGUUGAUACAUAGUUGAUAUGACUAACAACAAAUAAACAAAUUUAGUCCUUGUUGGAUAAUUUAUUUAUUGUAUUUGCGGGGAUUGUAGGAGGAUAAGUGAUAAUACUUUCAGUGGACGAAUACCAGAUUUUAUCGGCAAUUGGACAAGAAUAAUGAAACUGUAAGAUUGUAUUUUUUCCUCUGUAUGUACUUGCAUAUCCUCAAGAAAGAAAAAUAAAAACCAAAGACGGUGUUUUUGCAGGCAGAUGCAUGGUUCAGGUUUGGAUGGUCCGAUACCUUCCAGUAUUUCUGCCUUGACCAGCUUGACCGACCUGUAAGCCAUCGACAAACUACUUCUUUUCGAAUUUAUUUUCCUCGUGAAAACAAUGUCACAAGAACAUUCAUCAUCACAGUUUUUCUUUGGUGGGUUGUGAUUGACAGGAGGAUUAGCGAUUUAGGAGGCAAACUAUCUUCCUUCCCUCCAUUGAAUAAUUUGGAGUCUAUCAAGACACUGUGAGUUUAAAACAUACAGCUUUUGUGUUGUCGUAGCAGUAUAAGUUUGCUAGAAAACGUUUUUUAUUCAACUUCCAAUGCAGGAUACUGAGAAAAUGCAAUUUAAAUGGCCCAAUUCCAAAGUAUAUUGCGCAUCUAAAGAAGCUCAAAACACUGUAAGUCACGUUUUCAUUCAUACGUUGACCAAAGUAGAGCUUUAGAAUGAUUUUAUAUUUCCGUGAGAUUGAGCUCUGUAAGUUUAUCAUGUUUACUGUGUAGUGACCUCAGUUUUAAUCUCCUAACUGGUGAGAUUCCGUCAUCGUUUGAAAAUAUGAAGAAAGCCGAUUUCAUGUAAGUGCGUCACGAAGGGCAAAUGAGAAAUUAGUUUAGAAUAUUCUUUUCCUAAUCAUGAAAGGAUUUCUAAAAUAUUAUCUUUCAGUUAUUUGACAGGAAACAAGCUGACAGGAGCUAUUCCAAGCUCCUUUGUUGAAGGAAACAAAAAAGUGUACGAAUACAUGCCUCUGCUCAAUUUCCAUUGUUCCAACUUAACACAGAUUUCAAAAACUGUAUUUGUUCUUCUUGGUGUGCAGAGAUGUUUCUUACAACAACUUUACUGAUGCAAGCUCAAUUCUCAGUGGUGGUUGUAACCGAGUUACUUCGACUUCGUAAGUUAAUUCAAUCUAUUCUUAUAUUCAGAAUACUGUAGUUUGCUCAUACCUUAGCAGAAAUAACAAUGAUUUGCUUCAUUUUAUAGGAAUUUGGUGGAAAGCUUCUUUAUGGGAAAUAAAUCGUAAGAAACUAUCUCUCUGUAUACAAAAGGCUCUUUUAAGUAAACUGAUUGAUGCUCAUAACUUUGUAGUGGUUUAUUAGUCGUCUUUUCAGUUAUGUUUAGUUAUCUUACCGAAUGUGGUCUCUGUUUUUUCCCUCUGAGUUUGAUGUUUUAGACACAAGGAUUCAUCUUGUUAUCUUCAGCACUUCCCUUGUCUUCGUCCUAAGAGAGACCGUAAGCAACAGUAACGCUUGUGUUGUUUUCAUCAUAAUUCGGAUCAGAUCAUUGUUCUUAAUUAAAAAUUGAAACUUUCUUGUAGAUAAAUAUAAAUUGUACAUAAACUGCGGAGGAGGUGAAGUAAAAGUGAAUAAAGGAAUAACAUUUGAGGCUGACGCAGAUCCCAGAGGCCCUUCUAUGUUCUUCCCUGCCCCUGACAAUCACUGGGCUUAUAGCAGCACCGGGAACUUUAUGGACAAUGAUGAUGAUGCUGAUGAUUACAUUGCGCACAACACAUCUAGAUUAUCAGUUAAUGCUUCGUCUCCCAUCUCUGAGCUUUACAGGACAGCUCGAGUCUCUCCUUUAUCGUUGACUUACUACGGACUUUGUCUCGGAAAUGGGAACUACACUGUCAAACUCCACUUUGCUGAGAUCACCUUUACCGAUGGCAAUACAUUUUGCAGUCUCGGAAAACGCUUCUUCGAUAUUUAUGUUCAGGUAUGUCUAUAGCCUUUUAGUCACACUGCAAAUAACAGAUUGCAUUCUUUACUUACUUAUUUAUCUUCUCACAGGAUAACUUAGUGAUUAAAAACUUCAAUAUUCAAGAAGCAGCUGGCGGUUCGGGUAAGCCAAUCAUAAAAUCGUUUCCGGUGAAUGUAACGGACCACACUCUGAAGAUUGGCUUGCGAUGGGCUGGAAAAGGAACAACAGGGAUUCCAAUUAGAGGAGUUUAUGGUCCUAUGAUAUCAGCUAUAUCAGUGGAACCUAGUAAGUUUUUAUUAUUUGCACUUUUUUAAAAAAAUGGAUCAUGAAAUCUCAUUUGACGGAUUGAUGAUUGUGGCAGAUUUCAAACCUCCGGUAUAUCAUGACAAAAAAGAGAUCAUGCUAAAAGCAGGGAUACCUGUUGCAGCAGCACUUGUUUUGUUGAUCAUAGUGGGCAUAUUCUGGAAAAAAAGGCGUGACAAAAAUGCUAUUGACAAAGGUAUAAAUUGAAACUUUAAUUUUUCUUAUGAAUGUAUGUAUGUAUCCACAGAGCUGAAAAGUUCCUACUUUUAUGUAUAAGGUCGUUUUUAAUUUUGUUUUGUCAAUGAUAUGAACAGAGCUAAGGGGUUUAGAUCUUCAAACUGGAACUUUCACUCUACGACAGAUAAAAGCAGCCACUGAUAAUUUCGAUGCAACCAUGAAGAUUGGUGAAGGUGGAUUUGGCUCUGUUUACAAGGUAAUUUCACUUGUAUUCCUCAACUCCAUUAGCUCUAUAUGAAAAGCUUUAUUAGAAAAUGUAUACAAUGUGAAAGAGAUAUUAAAAGGUAAAGGUGGUGCCUUUGCUUGGUACAGGGUGUAUUGUCAGAGGGAAAAUUGAUUGCAGUUAAACAGCUGUCCGCAAAAUCAAGGCAGGGAAAUCGCGAGUUUGUAAAUGAAAUAGGAAUGAUCUCAGCUCUACAACAUCCAAAUCUUGUGAAGUUGUAUGGAUGUUGUGUUGAAGGAAACCAAUUGAUAUUGGUGUAUGAGUAUUUGGAGAACAAUUGUCUAUCUCGUGCGCUUUUUGGUAUGCUUUUUUAACUUUUCCGAGUUUGCAAGUGCCAAAGUAUGUAUGUAUCUGGUGAAAUGACUGCUCAAAAUCUUUUCUUUCUCAGGACAGGAAGUGAGUGCUAGACUGAAACUAGACUGGUCAACAAGGAAGAAGAUUUUCUUGGACAUAGCUAAAGGACUGACAUUUCUCCAUGAAGAAUCUAGGAUUAAGAUUGUACAUAGAGAUAUAAAGGCGAGCAACGUGUUACUCGAUAAGGAUCUCAACGCCAAAAUCUCUGACUUUGGUCUGGCAAAGCUGAAUGAUGAUGGAAACACACACAUCAGCACCCGUAUCGCAGGAACUGUGUAAGGAGGCUCUUUUGACACAUUAGCUCAAGCAGAGACUUGUUAAGAGGAUACAUUUUUUCUUGAUAUUUUCAUUUUGCAUUGCAGAGGUUAUAUGGCUCCUGAAUACGCUAUGCGUGGUUAUUUGACUGAAAAAGCGGAUGUUUAUAGCUUCGGUGUCGUUGCACUCGAAAUCGUAAGCGGAAAGAGUAACACAAACUUUAGGCCAAGCGAGGAAUUCGUUUACCUUCUUGAUUGGGUAAAAAAUCUCUUCUCUUUCAGUUCUACUUAAGUGUAAACUCAAUGAUAGAAACAAAACCAAAGUAUGUAACUUAAUUUUGUUGCAUCAAAUACAUGUAGGCUUACGUUUUGCAAGAGAGAGGAUGCUUACUAGAGCUGGUUGAUCCAACGCUAGACUCGGAUUACUCAGAAGAAGAAGCCAUGCUGAUGCUGAACGUGGCACUAAUGUGCACCAACGCGUCACCGACGCUAAGGCCUACAAUGUCUCAAGUGGUGAGUCUCUUAGAAGGAAAGACAGCGAUGCAAGAGCUGCUGUCGGAUCCGAGCUUCUCAACGGUUAACCCGAAGCUUAAAGCCUUGAGGAACCAUUUUUGGCAGAACGAGCUGAGCAGAACGCUUAGCUUCUCCACAAGCGGGCCUUGUACUGCCUCUGUUCAUUCACAAGUUGAUGCUGAGGAGAAGACUGGCCUUUUGGAUUAAUUAAGUUCUUAUAUAUAGAAUAGAAUUUUUAAAAACUCCAAGUGAGUUUCCUAGGAGUGGUGAAAUUAGAUUGAACACAAAAAUCAGAUGAAAGACUAAUAUACAAAAAUUGUAGACAAAAGUAAUGCUUGGCACUAUAUCCGUAUUCAUCUUGUUUUCGCCAUUUGCUUUAGAAGAAUAAAUAUUCGUUAUGGUCAAUGAAGGUAACUGGUAUUAACAUGAUAAUUUCAGCAAAUUGUAAAUAUAUAAAAGCCGAGUAUCAAUGGGUUUUUUUGUACAACUUUACCAACUAUCCGAGUAUCAAGCCCAACACUUGAAGCGUUUUUACAACAUGAUUCUUCUAUUCAGAGAUACAUGUUGUGCCAUGAUUCUUUUUCGACAUUCGAGAUGGACCAAAGACUAUACGAAUAUAUUUGGUCAAAUCCGAUUGUUCGAAACACCGAGUAAAUGACUAAAUACAAAAUUAGACCGAGUCAGGCCAUGUUGUGAGAAAAUUUCAGAACUCCGAAUAAUUGAACAUAUGGAUAUGAAGAAGACAGAAGUUCUUGAAUCUUUACUAUAUCCAUAAACUCUGGCAAAUCUCAAAAUGGCCACACGACUUAAUUAAAGAUUUUAUCAGUACUUCAGAAGUCUCUAUUACUUAUGUGUCCCGUUUUUUUUUGUUAACGUCGUCAGUCGUCACGUGUUGGAAACAAAGAAACCGACCUUGUUUGAUAAAAGUUUGGAUCGUACAAAUACAACAAAAAGAGAUAUAUGAAUGUCAUGUCGAAGAGAAGUAAAACAAAAUAUAACUAAUUUCUUUUAAGAAUUUACUACCUUCUCUAUAAUCUUGGAACACUUAAGCUCUAGUUCGAUUUGUUUUUCAAACUGGAAUGUGUGUUUAUAUUUAUGUAUGGCCUGUUCACGUGUGACGUAUUUGUGUGUGUGUGUAAUUUACAGGUACAAAGAGAGUAAGGAGUAAGCUUUUUGCACAGAUAUAAAAAGCUUAAGAGGGGAAAAGCUGAGGGGGGGGGGGGGGGACGGUGCAAUUAAUUGACAAGGAAUCAGAUUCCCACACCACUAAUGUUCUUUACUUUUGUGAUCCUGUCCUUAUCAUUUAUUCCACGUUUUAUUUCUACUACCAUCAAUUUUAUUAAUUGAAUAAAUAAUCAACGUGAACACAUAUUACAGCCCUAAAAAGGCUGUAAACUCAGUGAUUCAAUAUUUUUUGUAGUUUAGUUUUGGAGUAGAGCAUUUUUCGGAAAUCCAUCACGAAGAAAAUCGAACCCAAGGCCGCACGUAACGAGUUAUGCCCGUAGCCUUGGUGGCAUUAUUGCCACCACGCUUGUUUCCAAAAAUACUUACCACUAUAAUAUAGUAUAACGACUUUUGUGAAAAGAGUUUAUAUUUUGCAUGUUUAACAAAGAGAAAAGAAUCUUUUCUAUGGAUUUUGGUACUUUGCAAUAGGCUUUUGGCGUGAGCGGCAUACGUGACUUAUUAAAAGGCUCCAUAAAAGUGAGAGAAGCGUUCAAAAUUAACCCUUUCGUUAUAGAUUUAUGUUAAAUUAUAAGCAAUCAUUUCUCGAUAUUCAUGAAGAUAGAUGAAUUUCGCCUAUCCCAACAAACAAAAUUAUAUAUAUACUAUUGUUUUCCAAAUUCCAAGGCAGUACUCUAUCACAUUUUAACAUUAAUACAUGUCAACUCUAUAUGCCACCACUACAAAAACAAACGAGUGAUUCGUGAUUUUUUUUUUUUUUCAUACUUUGUCAGCUUACUUUUGAUUAUGGGCGUGAACUAAACAUUUAUGAUAAAAAGAAACGACAUUGAAGUUUAAUUUAAGAGGACAUUUUUUUUUUUGAACAUUUGUUAAGAGGACAUCUAAUUGGAAAAUCAAAAAUUCUUCUAAAAACGAUAUUUAUUAUAUUGAAAUGGAUCGAGAUAUAUUUAUAUGUACCUAGAAUUGGCAUAUUAUAAUGUUCUCUGUUUUUUUUUUUUUUUUUGGAACCUUUUGUUCUUCCAUAUACCAUAUCAGUGUUAUCACAAAACUAAGUUUACGUGAAACACAAUUUCCGAGGAAAAGCCGGAAAGUAACUUAAUCUCAAAUGAGCAUUUAUCCAUUAUAAAGGGUGAAAGCAGACGAAGAACGAUAAGAGUAUACAUGAUGGUUUUGGUAUAUGGAAAGGUCUUCGUGAUUGAUUCAUGCAUGAACGUCCUUUUAUUAUUUUCCCUUUUUCUGUUUAUUAAGUAGACAAAUUUAAGAUUAUUCGCGGUGGCGAGUCUUGCCCCACUCGAAGCAUUACGUAGUGUUAUAAUAAUGUUGCAAGUAGGCUAUCUUUGGCGGUCCUUUUCUGAAAAAGAGGUUUCGCAAUUGCUAAACGAAACGAGUGAUGACGUCAAAAACCAAACACAACCAAAAAAAAAAAAAACGAAACGAGUGAUCAAUGAAGAGAUAAGAGAAAGAUCAAAAGGAGAAAAAGGAAAAGAGUAGAGAAAAUGUAGAGACAAACUGCAAAAUGUAAAGCUCUUUUAACAAGUAGUACGUUUUGUUACAUAAUAUUUUGGCCCAAUAUAUAAAAAGUUGUAGUCGCAAACGAGCGACUCUUUUUCACUUUGAAAACCAUGUUUCAUUACUGUGGUGAUGCUUUAUUUUCUUCAAGUAAUUUAGUCUUGAUAAAACAGAUUUUUUAUCAGAAAAAUCCUUAAACGUUUAUGAAUAUUCAUCGUUCAUUUCAUUUUUUUUUGUGUAAUGAAUGGCUAGUCCUAAUAUUAACUAAUAAUUAUUUAAGUAAACAAACUAGAAAACAAGAGCAAAAAAAAAACUGCAACUUAGUCAAGUUGAGAACUUGUGAUAGGACGUAAAAUACAUCACAAGAAGUUUUUCACAUCUUCUUAAAAUAGCUUGCCUCGUGCUCACCGGUCACCUAUUUCUCUUGGGUGAAGAUCGUUUGUUCAAAGGUAGAUUCCAAAUUUCCAACUUUAUUCAUAUGUAGUCGUAAAAUACCAAAUUUGUAAAUACAAAUAUUAAGAUACUGAUGCAAUUAUAUAUAUAUAUAUAUAUAUUAUGCAAAAAAAUUACUCACCAUUAUGUAAUAGACAAGAUCCCACCAAAAGUGUAAUAGAGAAUGACGAUGAUCUGCUUUAGAUAUGGCAUAUGGGGCUUGGCAUCCAAAUUAUAAAAAGAUGUCAUAUAUAUUAUUACUGAUUGAUUAUACCCAUACACUUAAAAUCCAUUUAAAAGAUAAUAAAAGUGAAGUGAUAGCUUCCAGCUAAUUUCUUUCUGAAAAUAACCUAACAAAUUUUAGUUCCAAAAAUACCAUAUCACUUGAUAAUCUCCGUUUUGUCUAAUAGAUCUAACUUUAAUAUUCUUUUUGAGCCUUCAUAGAUGAUAUUCAUUUUGAAAUCUACAUUUACUAUCCUUUGUAUGAACAUCUUAUUUUUCCGGAAAAAAAGAAGAUAUCAAUUAGUCACAAGAAACAAAGAGAAUAGUAUAAGAAAAUUCAAAAGAAAUCCAUACUUUUACUAUAAAAACUGAAUUUUGAUAUAAAGAAGAGAACGUGAGAUAAAGAACAGAGACACUCGGUUAAAGAACAGAUAUAUAUUAUUUGUCUCCGAAGUGUAACUAUUUGAUGAAAGCAAAACCAUGCUUUUUUAUAGAUGUAUAUAAACAGACUUCUAUACAACCUUUACGGUUUAGUAAUAGAUAUAGUUAUAUUAAACACACAACAAAAAUUAACUUUACUUUUCAAGUAGUGGGGUAAUAGUACUCCGUAAUUGUUUUUAAGUUAAACUUGGAACUUCAUUUAAUUUACAGUACUACAUCCGUUUCGUUUUAAGUAUUUCUUUUAUAGAAACUUUUACACAAAUUAACUUUAUUUUUUUACGGUACAUGUUUUUAAUACAAUAUCGUUUUCCAAGUAACACUAUAAUUUGGCCUCACAAAUUAAAUAAUUAAACUAGUUGAAAACUUGAAUAGUGUUACAAUCUUUUCAUAGUAUUAUGGUAUAGUUUCAAAACAUAUCUUCCCCUAUAUAUUCCAUAGACGUCUGGGAGAGGAACCUUAUAGGCGAAGAAAUGUCCCCACUCAAACCCUAAAAAAAGGGAAUCACAACUAAAAAUUACACAAAGAUGAAUUAUAGACGCGUAUACACAUGAGGAGAUGAGAGUGGGAAUUAUACAAAUAUAUAGAAAUCAUAAAAAGAACCAAAACUCCUUUUCUUUUUUCUCGUUAAAAAAGCAUUUUAUUUCCUUUAAUUUGUCUUUGUUCUGCUUCUCUCUUCUCACUUUCCUUUUUGAUUUUCUGCUCUCUCGCGUUUCUCUUUGGUCUUGCUUCCUCUCUUUCGUUUUGCCCUUUUUUUUUGAUUCCCCCACCAAGUUUUUCCUUGUAGUUCUUUCCCCUAAAGAUCCAUCAAACUUUAUUAAAGAAGGAAGAAGAAAGAGAUAAUAAAGGGUAUAGAAGAACAAUGUUUUUCUCAUCCAAUUGGUCACAGGUUUCACUCCUUUGAUCUUUCAUUACAAAAUGUUCUCUCUGUCUCUCUCUCUUUCUCUCUUUUUGCAAUUUUUCUCUUAAAUUCGUCAUUGAUGUUUUGAUUCGUUUAGUAAUAAUUUUGAAUCAUUUCCAAAAGAUAUUCCUAUUCUCCUCUUCUUUUCUAUAACCAGCUUUCUUUAGAUUUCCAACAUCUAUAUAUAUGGUAUUUCUUGCUUUAGAAAUAAAAAAAUUACACUAGUAUUGAAUUUGGAGUUUCUUGGUUCUUUCAUUUAUUUUGAUUACUUUGGUUGUUUUUUUUUUUCAGCCGACGAACUCGAAUCAUCAGAUUCAUCAUCAACUUCAUGAAAAUGGAAGUAUAGUUAAUGGCGACGGGCUAUUCUCUCACCAACUAAUUCCACCUAACCCACAAAACCCUAACCCUAACCACCACCAUGCUGCUGUCUCCGGUGGUCAUCCGGCGAGGCUGGGUGGAUCCAUGGCGGAGAGAGCGAGGCAGGCCAAAGCUCCUCCGCCUGAGGGAGCCCUAAAGUGUCCUCGGUGUGACUCCAUCAACACUAAGUUCUGUUACUACAACAACUACAACCUCACUCAGCCUCGCCACUUCUGCAAGGGUUGCCGCCGCUACUGGACACGUGGCGGCGCCCUGAGGAACGUCCCCGUCGGUGGAGGCUGCCGGAGGAAUAGCAAAAAGGGCAAAAAUGGUAAUUCAAAAUCUUCUUCUUCUUCGUCCAAACAGUCUUCUCAAACGGUCAACACUCCAAGUUCUAGCUCAGGACAGCUAAGGACAAAUCAUCAGUUCCCCUUUUUACCAACACUUCACAAUCUCACUCAACUCGGAGGUAUUGGUUUGAACUUAGCCGCCACUAAUGGCAACAACCAAGCUCCUCACCAGAUCGGUUCAAGUUUGAUGAACGAUCUAGGGUUUCUUCAUGUCGGAAAUGGACGAAACACUUCAGCUCCGAUAACCGGAAACAUUCAUGACAGCAACAACAACAACAAUGAAAACAACCUAAUGGCCUCCGCUGGAUCGCUGAGUCCAUUCGCUCUCUUCGAUCCAACGACGGGGCUAUACGCUUUCCCUAACGAAGGCAAUAUAGGAAACAACGUCGGAGUUUCUUUUUCCUCUACUUCCAUGGUUGAUUCUAGAGCUUACCAGACCGCUCCGGUGAAGAUGGAAGAACAACCCAAUCUGGUUAACUUGUCUAGACCGGUCUCCGGUUUAACGUCACCGGGAAACCAAACAAAUCAGUACUUUUGGAACAAUUCGGAUUUCUCGGGACCUUCUUCUAACGAUCAUCAUCAGCUCUUGUGAGAUUUUGUGUUUUGUGGGAUCAUUAAUGUAUGUUAUGACGUGGAGGCUGAUUUAAAUGACUAGGAACGGUCAGGAUCAAAUGCAUGCAGAGUACGUGUGCGGGACUAUAUAUGAUCAUGGAGACGUAAUGAGACAACCGAAAAGGUAUCUUGAUUAGAGUGUGUGGAUUCAACAACUUAAGAUCGAUACUUAUUUACAUAUAGAUAUUCAGGUGUGUCAUAUAAUUUGUUUUGUAUUGUGUGGUUUCAUGGUUAUCUGAUUCUCAAAUUGCUAUACCUCGAUGAAUUUGUGUCGUUUGUCGGUUUGUGUAACAGUCCAACUUAUAUAUUCUUAAUUUUAACUAGAUCUCAUUGAAUGUAUAAUAUUUUUCAGCUAGUUCUACUAGUACUCAGUUUUCGUUGAAAUUCAAUUCGUUAUAGGUUUGCCUGACCAAAAUCGAGUAGUGAACAUUACUAACGAUCUAUCAUUUCUUGAUUAUUAAUAAAAAAUUAUAAUAUAUAAAAAGCUAAGGAUAAUUCAUAAAGUAAAAAUGGGCGUUGCUGACUAAGGAACAGGAACUUGAUCAUACAAAUCCGUGUCUCUCUGGAUGUUAUGUUUUAAAUUUCCCAAAAUACUAUUUUUUUCUCAUAUUUUUAGGAACUUCUUUUUCUUUUACAGUCUUCUUGUACGAAUCUGUGUGUCAGUCUGUUUUGUGUGGGUGCAUGAUCCUCUAUAAACAUUACUAAAUCUAUGCAAACCUUGUAUAAGUAUCUAUACAGAAUAAAUAAUAAUAUUUUUUUUGUUGCAUGGAUUAAAUCAUACUUACGUUUAGUUUACCCUUUCUUAUACACAUAUUUUCGGCUGAAUGUUGAAUAAAAGUUUGUAGGAUACAAUAAUCAAUCUAAAACCAGCUAGCUAGAUAAUUUUUAAUUAUAUUAAUAUUAAGCAAGCUUGUUUUCUUAACUGUAGAUUUUGAUCAGUUAGUGUAUAAUACUACCGUACUAGUAUAGUCUAAUGUGAAAAAUUUGGCGUCUGGUUUAGUGUUGAUGUUGUUGCAUUCUAUGUUAUUAAUUUGCAAUGAAAAUAACGAUUUUACAAGCAUAAUACGAUAGGGAAAAUAAAGUGGAGAAUAUAAUGGAGAAAACGUUAAACAAAGAUUGACACGGAAAACAAUGCGUGCAUAGAUUAAGUAUGUCCUGACCGGGACCCUCCAACUUUUAUGAUAGUCCCAGAUUUAACGGUAGGGUUAAAAUCAUUUUGAAAUGCUUUUUUGACUCAACCCUUUUUUCUUUUUUUCUUUUACUUAUGACUGUUUUCCUAAAAUUAAACUGUGUAAAAAAAUGUGUAUGCUACUACAUGAUAUAAUACUGUCUUUUUCUCAUCUGUAGUAUCUUAACCAUCUUUUUUAGCAAGUGUUGAGCAAACAAAAUUUACAUAUUGACAUCCAUAAUCCAAAAAGGUUUCAAAUACUACAAAACACAUUACACAUAUGAUAACAUUUCGUAAAUCCUUAUGCUAUUACUCCUAGAUUACGUACGUACUCAACUCCUUUUCUGUCAGAAUCAUUUCCAGCGUUGCUUUCAGCAUCAAAUUCAGAACUUUAAGCAUUAUCGUCAGCAUACACAUGGUGAGAUUCAGUCACAUAUCUUUCUCAUGUAAGAAAAAAUUUAUAACCAGUUAUAAAGUGACAAGUAUUACAAGAGUACUAUCUUAUGAUUUUUUUGUUUAGGUUCUCACUUCUCAGACGAGAACCAAUUUUAUCUCUCUAUUCAGUUUUCAAUUUUCUUAUUUACAUAAGAGACCACCACGUGUCACACUCUCACUGACGCUUCGUUUCUUCAGUCAUAAUUCCUCUCCCCCACCACUCGCUCCCUCUCUUACGUCACUGAUAUAAAAUUGACUUUUCUUCUUAAGACCACAUAAAUCUAUCUAAUGUCGUACUUAGUUCAAUUUGAUGAAUUUGGCGGCAUAUUCAUUCACUUUGGUUAGGGCAGUUGUGAUAAUUACUAUUCUUAAUCACGCCGGGGCAACUAAAGUCUUUUGACAUAGUUUUAUUUUUACGUUUUGUUUAUGAUUUUAGUUUCAUAGGGACAUACUUUUUUUUUUAAUCUCAAAGCUGUUAUGUAUACGCAUCGUUUGGUGGCCACUUGCUAGCGAAAUGUUCCCAGUCUAUUGUUUUGUCAACCAAUAUUACCAAACAUACUAACAUUAAGAUUUUUUUUGUGGUAAAAUUACUAACACUAAGAUGUUAAGUAUAUCUUGUUCGUUUGCUUAGUAAAGUUUUGUUUUUUCCAUUUCCCUUUGAAUAUUUGGUAGUCAGAAGUCUUCUUUUAUGCGGGAGCGUGAUUAAGGUUUUAAUCUUCCAAGUCAACCUUAGCUUUCACGUCAAUUUUGGCUUAGCUAACCGUUUAGACGUGCUCAUCUGGUAAACUGAAACUCCAAUCUAGUUGGACAAAAUUAUUUAUAUAUAGAGAACAUCCUAUAAUUAUUUGGACAAAAUAGACAUAAAAAAAAGUCUAAGCGGGCAAAAAGAUAGCAUACUUCCAAUAAAAUAGUAUUUAACAAUUUGCCACAAACAGAGGCAGCCUAACAACUACUCAUCCUACUUGAUUGGUUGGUGAACAUACUAUACCAGCGCAAGUGGCUUCGGUCUUAUUAAAAUAAUCCAAUUCUAGAAACUUUAACUACUUUCAAACUGGUCUUAUUUUGAUUUUUAAGCUCUGACCAAAACAAAUUAAUACUUAUACAGGUAGUUCUGUAAAAUAACUAUUUUUGUUUGCAUUGAAAAAACAAAAUCAAAGUAGUAUGAAAAACUUCAAUCCAUCAUAAAAAACAAGACCGAUAUGAAACAGUGUAUAUCGAAUAUUAAUAUUGAAUAUCUUACUAUUAAAAAAUUAUAAUAUUUUCUCUUAAAAUAAUGAAUUUUAUAAAUGUUAUAAUAUCAAUAAAAUAAUAGCAUUCUAUUAAAAAAAAAAAAAAUAAUAGCAUUUAAUACCUUUUCAAAUAAUAAAUGUGUACUACCAAAAUAACGAAAAGGAAAGUAAAUGAAACUAUAUAAUAAGAACAAAACUAAGGACAAAAAUAUUUUUAGUAAAUCCGUUACUUAAAAGCUAAAAAUUACUAGAUAUUAAAUUUAAUGUAAAAUGUAUUUAUUAGGGAAAAAAGAAAACAUGUAUUCAUGAUGGCGUGUGAGCGUUAUAUGUAUAUAUAUGAAACAGACAUUUGACGAUUUUCAACCAGUAGACCGGGCCAUCUCUGGCGGGUAAAGUAGAACCACAUAGCAGAACGAAAAGUCUCACUUUCUUGUUCAACGUCUUCCUCGUUUUCCAUCUUCUUCUUCCAGACACCUUCCGUUGCAUCAUUCAAGCCCUCUUCGGUUUUGUUGUUGUUCCUUAUGUUCUUCGGUUUUUAAAUACUCAACCAAUAACACCUGGAUUUAAUAGGCUAUUUAUUGUGUCGCUGAAUCGCUUACUUCUUCUUGAUCAGGUCAGCUUCUACCGGAUAAACUCUUUUAACAUUUUAUUCCUCUAUCCUUUUCCAUUACUUUCAAUUCGGGUUUUGAUUGUUAUUAUUAUUAUUUUUAACAAAUUGGUUCAGUAAAAUGGAUCAAGAAACACAUAUCGUUUCUUUGAUUGAUUACCUUUUUUUUUUUUUUUUUUUACGAUUUCAGACAAGCUACAUAGCCUGGUCUGUCUAAUUUUGUGUUUGUUUAGUACGUCCGUGUUGUUGACCUCCUUCUUCACACGUAAUCCAAUAUAUAUAUUUUUCUGCCGAUCCAAGGAUUCAAAAUGGGGAAGCGUUUGAAAAACGAGAAUACGAGCCAAAGACAUGGCAAAUAUUAUCACAAAUCAGGAUGGUUAACCGGAAUGCUUCAUCUGCUUGAUUUUCACCAUUGGAGAACUAAGAACCGCCCAAUCUGUAAGCCCAUCUCGUAAACUUUUAUACUUAUUUUCUUAAAGUAAAUUUUUGAUUUUAAAUAAAAUUAGUAAAUAUUUUGAAUGAUGGGCUACUCUGUGUUCAUAGGUUGGAAGACUCCAAGAACACAUUCCUUGGUGCAUGAAACUGAUGAACAAGAACCGUUUCUUGAUUCUGAGAAAGGAGAUUCAAAUAUGCUUAGUGUUGUUGCAGAGAAGCCAACGAGAAAACUGAAGAAGACGAUGACAACAAAGCAAGUAACAGAGUACGUUGAUUUUCUUGAAAUCUUGAGAAAACAAGAUGUUUUUGUCAAGAUACUGAAAGAUCCGAAUUCGGAGUUCGGGAAGCAAGUCCAUAUCAAGUCUAAUCCAAGAGUUUUGCCCAAGUCAGGCUCGUUUCCUCUCUCACGCUCUUCACGUCCCGCUAAGAUUGAACACAAGCAGAGGGAGAAUUGGUAUUCCCCAAAACAGAACGGUGCCGUUUUGACUUUGAAUGUUCCAAGAGACACUUCUCAGGAACAACAAAAACCAAUCUUACCUUCUCAUGGCUCACCUGAUGAUCAUGGAUUUAAUCACGCGGUGUUAAGUGGAUUUAGAGAAAUCAAGAAGUUACUCAAGAACGCGCUUAAAGACCGAAAGCACAAGAAGAAGAACAAGUAUGCUUCUGUCUCAAUAGAUGAUUCUGUGGGUAGAUACUCUCAUCUCUUGGAGCAGAGUUUUAGAACAAAAGUUGGUGAAUUACGUUCCAAGAGCUUAAAACUUUCAUAUGAAGAGAAAAAGAGUGAUUCGAGAGAUGAUAAUAAACCACAAUUCUUCAAACGGAUUUCGUCAUUGUCCAGCCUUGAAGUUCUUAGUUCAUUUCUGACCGACCUGCCCCGAGACAGUUCUACUUCCAAUCUAGAAGCUAGGAAAUCUUUAGAUCAAGAUACUAACGUUGUGCCCAAGAAAUCGUUAUUACUAUCUGAAUCUCCGCCAAAAACAGAGAAGGAAGAAAAAGAUGAGGAGCAAGAUGAGAGAAACCAAGAAAAUCAUUUAGACAGCCCAAACAAAAGAGUCCUGCAACAAGAUCCAGAUUCUGUUCCUAGUACCGGUUCCUCCGACAAUACUGCACAAAAGACGGAGACUUUACCCUCACAAGGUAAGCUCUUGAAUGAAACAGUUCAGUACUCUUUGAUAAGGGAAAUAUAUAUAUGCAAAUCUCAUUUCUAUAUAUGCUUGUUCUACAGGUUUAGAUCUAAGUUCUUUUAAGAUUUACAACCAUAAAGAAGAAGAAGAAGAUGAAGAUGCUUGCUUUUGUUUUGUAAAGAAGGUUCUGGAACUUUCAGGUUUCCUCGAAAACGAACACAACGUAGAAAAAUGUCACUCAGAGGAACAACCACUGAACCCAUCACUGCUCUACGAACUCGAUAUACAAGAAGAAGCAGUGAACAGAGAGCUUCUCUUUGAUUUGGUAAACGAAGCAAUCGCUGAGUCUCACAGCCAAUCACACAUCUAUUUCCCUAAAACAUUAGCGUUUGCAUUUCCAAAUGGGAAACGUUUUCUUGAAGAGGUGUGGGGAAGAGUUGAGUGGAGCCUCUCUGGGUUAGGAGCUGAGAAUAGAGAUCGUUCAUUGGACGAUAUUGUGGGAAGAGAUCUUACGAAGGGUGAUGGAUGGAUGAAUCUACGAGCUGAAUCUGAAUGGCUGACUCUUGAGCUUGAAGAUCUGAUUUUUGAUGACGUUUUAGAUGAAUUGCUUAGUGAAUGUUAGUCUUUUGGAAUGUCUCAGUCAGUUUUUUUUUUUAAUAUGUAUACAUGUAUAUAAGUGUUUGAUACAAAUUCAAGAUUUCUAAUUUCUGAGAGGAACAGCUGAUUGGCAAACAUGAUUCCAUGAUUUUGCAUGUUUUUUUUCACCACUCACAAUUUUUUGCUGAAUUAAUCAAUUUUUUACAAUAAACUAUAUCAUGCCAAAAAUAAGAAUCCCAAGUUUUUAGUAACACUGCUAAAUACGUCAUGCGCAAAACAAAAAAAAUAUAACGGGCCUUGCCAAAAAAUAAAUGUAACGAGUUUUUAGUUCCUCUUUUGGGCCGAGCCCAUCACUUUAAACCCUCGACCUCCGUCUUUCUCUUUCUUCACCGACAACCACCACGGCGACAAAUCCCCGAUCGAUCAAUUUCCUCGGCGGGAUACCAUCCUGUGUCUCCUCGUUGCUUAUCUCACUGUAACUCUCUUUUUUAGCUCGCCGGAGAACUGUCGGAGAUAAGUUGAUGUGGCUGAGCCGGGCGGUUCCCGUUCGAUAUUUGGGAUCCUAUCGAAGAACUCAAAAACCGCCAUGGAUGAGAUAUCCUGUUGUCUUCUACUCAGAUUAUACGGAGAAGAAAGAAAAAGUCGCGCCUAUGCAGGUUCGAUUCAUCAUCUAUUCACUUCAUCCACAAACACCCAAAACAAAACCCUCUCUGUUGCUCUUUUUUUUUUCCUAAAGAAUUUGUGAACUCUAAGUUGUGCAGGAGACUAGAAUGAGAGAUAGGUUUACGCUGUACGCAAGAGGCGGUGAAGGUGGCAGUGGUUGUUCCAGCGUCCGCCGGAGCCGUACCGAUCGCUACGGAAAACCUGAUGGUACUAUCCCGAAUUGAUGAUACAGAAAUGUUAUGUACUAUAAUCCAUACUCAUGUUCUAGAUUUUGUAUAGUUAGAACUAGAGUGCUGUUUUAGUGGAUGUAUCUGACAUGGAAAGAAUUUUCGAAGGUUGUAAAACAUGGAUUGUUCGAAGAAUGUUGAUGUUAAUUUAAAUUGAAAUUAGUUCAGGUGGAAAUGGUGGGAGAGGAGGUGAUGUGAUCUUAGAAUGCACACACGCAGUUUGGGAUUUCAGCGGAUUACAACCCCAUGUUGUAAGUUUACGCCUUUUUUUGGUGUGUGGGUCUUUGAAGGAAGAUGCAAUUCGCGUCGAAACCGAUUAUAUUAUCUAACUUUUAUGAGUUUUGCAGAAAGGUGGGAAAGCUGGACAAGGAACUUCCAAGAACAGGAUUGGAAACAGAGGAGAAGACAAGGUUUUGUUUUCUCUCAUUGGCGUUUCUCUGCUUCUUUCUUUUUAUCUUGGGGGAACUAAAAACAUCAUUUCGCAUUUUUGUGUCACACCACAGGUCCUGCAAGUGCCUAUUGGGACGGUUAUUCAUCUUCAAGAGGGUGAGAUUCCAUCUCAGGUUCAAGUUGACUCUCCCAAAGAUUUGGAUCCAUGGGACCUUCCUGGUACACUGGUUGAGGAUCCUGCAUCCGAGGAGAACCCUGAUCUUCAUCAAGAAAUUACGCAACACUCUGUUCAAGUUGAACCUGAGAAAGAAAGUGUAAAAAGACAUGUAGGCACGCCAGAGGAAUUUGAUUUUGAAGACGAUGAAGGAGACAUCGAUCAAGUCAAGUAUAAUGUUGCGGAAUUAACAGAACAAGGUCAGAGAUUAAUCAUUGCUCGUGGUGGUGAAGGCGGUUUGGGUAGUGUUUCCGCAACACGUUAUGUAAGAGGCACCAAGUUCGGUAAAACAGCGAUCCGUCAAAACAAGUUGAGGAGCAUGGAGGACGAAGCUGAUGAUGAGGAUGAUGAUGAUGAUGAUAAUGAACACUCGAGUAUUAAAUCUGGUUCCCUCGGUUCCGAGGCUGUCCUGAUAUUAGAACUCAAGAGCAUUGCUGAUGUUGGACUUGUCGGGAUGCCAAACGCCGGGAAAAGCACGCUUCUUGGUGCGUUAUCACGUGCUAAGCCCCGCGUAGGCCAUUACGCGUUCACGACGCUUCGUCCCAAUUUGGGGAACGUAACCUACGAUGACUUCUCCAUGACGGUAGCGGAUAUUCCGGGGCUCAUAAAAGGAGCUCAUCAGAACCGAGGGCUAGGGCAUAACUUUCUCCGCCACAUCGAACGUACCAAAGUGUUGGCUUACGUUGUGGAUUUAGCAUCGGGGCUAGACGGUUGCAAGGGAGUUACACCGUGGCAACAACUGAGAGAUUUGGUGAUGGAGCUUGAGUUCCAUGAAGAAGGGUUAUCGGAUAGGUCGUCUGUGAUCGUGGCGAAUAAGAUCGAUGAGAAUGGCGCGGAUGAGAGAUUGGAACAACUUGAGAGGAGAGUGAAAGGAGUGAGGAUAUUUCCGGUUUGUGCGGUUCUUGAAGAAGGUGUGGCUGAGCUUAAAGAUGGUUUGAAAAUGCUUGUAAACGAUGAUCGUGAGGGAUCGGAGAGACUAAAAUUGGAGAAUAUCUGUGUUGACUAGUUGAGUUUUACUUGUUGUCAAGUAUCCAAUCAAAUUUUCAGAUUUUAGGUUCUCUUGAAAAAUAGGAGAACAUUUCUUCACUUUUAUUUUAUCUUUGCAAUAUUUAUGAAAAAACACAAACUUUUCUGUUAAGUGAAUGUACACAAAUUCUACUGUCGAAAAAUUAACUUGAAUCAAAAAAGUAAAAACUCAAUGAAAACUGCAAUUAUUCCAAAAACAUUAUCCAUCAGUCCAUCCAUGUCUAUCAGAAUCCGAACAAUAAAAUUGAAAAGAAAUGUCAGUACCACUUUUGAAAAUAUAGGCCAAAUUAUUACGUAAACGAGGGGGCACGUAGGAAGUCUAAAAAGAGUUUUGGAUUUGUGAUGGAAAAAGAGGGCCAAUUAAAGUGAAUUCACCAAUUCAGGACCUUGAAGGGGCAAGAAAAAGCCAACGACCUCACCCUACUUAAUGUGUUCCCUAUUCCUUUUUAUUUUCUUUUAGCCAGAGACUUGACCCAAACAAUAUUGUGUGGUUCUUGCUUCUUCUUUUUUGGCGCUCCUCAACAUCACUAAGGGGAAAAGUUUAUACCUAUCUUACUUUCGGCAUCGGACACAAAAAUAGGCCUUGUUCAGAAGUGAUUCAAAAUACCAUAUCACAAAUCCAUAAACUUCGAUGCCGAUGUGAUCCAAAACUGUCUUUGAGAAAGUUUACGUUAUUUAGAAUUGUCGCUAUUAGUAGCAGGGACUGCAACAUACUUGAUCUGAGGGGAAAAAAACCCCAUAUAUAAGAUCAUGAGGGAAAUACACCAUGGUACACACAAUUGCUAAAAGAAAGUACACUAUAUUCAAUUUUGCACUAGAUAUAAGGGGAAAAAUACCAUGUAUAAAAUCAUGGGUUGCAUUUAUUUUCAACUGUCAGUUAAAUUGAGAUUAAAUCUUGUGGUUUUUACAUGAUAUCAACGUUCUCUUAAUCCAGAUGGAAAUUUAUCCUUUUUUGUUUGUCAACAAACAAAUUUUUAUCAUAAUAUUGAUAAGUAGUAGAAAGAACGUAGACAGUAUCUUGGGUUGUCAAAUGGCUACAUGAGGAUUACUAAAAAGAGGAUACUAACUAUGUACUAAUCUCUUGGUAAUAUAAAAUAAAUUAACAGAAGAUAAUAUAUCUCACUAAAUAAGUUUCCAGGACGUAUAAGAUAACAAUAGUUUACGACUUGGAUAAAGAAAGGAUGUUGUAUUAUAUAUAUUAAGAGUCUUACCAAAAAAAAUAUAUUAAGAGGAGGAACAACAUCCUCGUGAUAAAGACAUUAGCUAUUGUCAAAGACAUAAUAUAUAUUAAGCUUGAGUUCCUCCUCUUAACGGAGGAUAAUAUAUCUCACGAAGUUUGUCUUGACAAAAUUAUUGAUCUAGCAAGUUGCUCCUUGUGAUAAAGACAUUAUAUAUAUAUAUAUAUAUAUAUAUUGUAAUAAAACAAGUAUAUAUUAAGCAGAUGAAAGAGGCAUGCUUUAUGCCUCUUUUUUUGGUCGGCUGCCGUUUACUAAUAAAAUCGUAACUCUUGUAGCGUGUACGACCUUUUCCUUAUUCCAUAAUAAUUUGACGUUCUCCAUUUUACACGAUACUCUAAUUUCUUGCUGAAACUCAAAUAAAAUGUUAAUACAUUCUUGAAGCCAUUAGAACAAUCUAGAUAACCGAAAAUACUGGGCAAGUGAUGUUGUUUACGUAAUUAAGAAAAAGUUGAUGUUAUUCCGAAAAUACUGGGCAAGUGAUGCUCAGCUGCAUUUAUAGAAGAAACCGACAUAUAAUUUAAUGAUUACAUCAUCUAAAACAAAUUUUUAUCUCUUUUAGCCACUUCAUUUAAACAAUUUUUUUUUACACAAUAAUGUUUUAAUUUAAGACAACAGUAAUAAGAUUCUGUAUACAAAUUUUAAGGUUUAAAUUAAAAUAAAUAGCAAUUUUUUUAAUUAACACAAGAUGUGAUGAUCUCUCUGUUGAAAACUUGAAAUGCUCUUUGUGGUAACUUCUUCCAAAAGCAUUUCUAUUGAAAUUAUCCAAACACGAAAUGACACGUGUAUGGUGGAUAGAAAACCGAAUCUUUCUCUCCUCCUAUAAAUAGUGGUCAUUCCCUUUGUUCAAAUCACACAGCACAUAAAGAAGAACAAGAAGAAAAACAAAUUACAAAUUCAAAUCAAAGAGAAGUAAGAGAAGCAAUGGCAGGUUCUAACUGUGGAUGUGGCUCCGCUUGCAAAUGUGGUGACUCUUGCAGGUAACCCUUUAUUCUACCUUCUUUACCUUUACUUGCAUAUACGCAUGUGGUUGCUUUCUCCUUAAUUUUUUUUUGGCUUAAAUUUCAUCUUAUUAAUUACUGAAAUUUCAAAUAUUUGUUUUUUGUUUUUUUGUUUGGUGAAGUUGCGAGAAGAACUACAACACGGAGUGCGACAACUGCAGCUGUGGAUCAAACUGCAGCUGUGGGUCAAACUGUAGCUGUUGAAGGGAUUGUGGUGCAUAUCACAUAUUUGCAGGAAAACUGGGGGAAAAAAUUGUGUUUGAUGUUAAGAGAUUUGUGUGUGUUUGAAUAAUGACUUGGCAUGGUGUUGCGUAAUAACUCUCUUAACCUUGACUUUUUCCUGCUUUGUAUUUUUCUAUGUGUUGAAUGGUGUGAUUGUGUAAUGUUUUAAUUUGUAACCUAAGAACAAAAAAAAAGAAUAUAUAUUGACUAUUGUGAUUAUUAAGAUUUGUCUAUAUCUCCUCUCUCCAUAGUAGAGUAUAGGGUAGGGUUACUCAGCUAAAUGACCCAUGUAAAGUUGUUUAUUUUUAGAUAAAUGACCAAAUGGUAAAGAUACUGUA
rnacentral:lncRNA from 1 species